rnacentral:miRNA from 1 species
CCUGCAGUUUCGAUGAUUUUAUC